GACGAACGCUGGCGGCGUGCUUAACACAUGCAAGUCGAACGGAAAGGCCCCCUUGUGGGGUACUCGAGUGGCGAACGGGUGAGUAACACGUGAGUAACCUACCCUUGACUUUGGGAUAACUUCAGGAAACUGGGGCUAAUACCGGAUAGGAGCUCCUGCUGCAUGGUGGGGGUUGGAAAGUUUCGGCGGUUGGGGAUGGACUCGCGGCUUAUCAGCUUGCUGGUGGGGUAGUGGCUCACCAAGGCUUUGACGGGUAGCCGGCCUGAGAGGGUGACCGGCCACAUUGGGACUGAGAUACGGCCCAGACUCCUACGGGAGGCAGCAGUGGGGAAUAUUGCACAAUGGGCGGAAGCCUGAUGCAGCAACGCCGCGUGCGGGAUGACGGCCUUCGGGUUGUAAACCGCUUUCGCCUGUGACGAAGCGUGAGUGACGGUAAUGGGUAAAGAAGCACCGGCUAACUACGUG
rnacentral:rRNA from 1 species